CCAUUCAGAAAACAGCUACCACUUACUUGCAGAAACAAAUACACCUAAAAAAAGUUCACAGUAAUAGGAGACAAAUAUACUAACCAAUACAAGAAUUUGACUUUCACAAAAGAACAGCAUAUAACAAGUAAAAGCAUUGAUAAAUACCGAUGACCUAGAGAAUAUCAAUUAUUCUUGUAUCAGCGCCUAUUCACAAACCCAUUCAUGGUAUAUACAAAAAAAGCAUGCUGAGACCUAAAAUAUUUCUCCAGCACUCCAAGAUCAUGAUCUGAUGCAUAACAUAUAUAUACAUCAUCAGAACUCGUCCAAAGUCUACCUUCUCUUUUUUUUCCCUUCAAAUUCUUUCAGGGUCACCAUGUUAUAGCAUUGCCAUACAAGGAGAAGCAUGGCCAAACAAAAAUCGGGAGAUUCAGAAGCAGUGGCUUGAACGUCCCUAAACAUCACUAAUCUGUUGAAUAAAUUGUGAGGCGACAAAAAAUAAAUUAAACUAAAUUGUACUGUCAUACGAUAAGACAUCUGUCAAUCGCAAUGGAAUAUUAUGGCGGACUAAGAAAAGAAUGAAAAACCUGACUAGCGACUUUGUUUCUGGAUUGAACUCGAAGCACAAGAGUAAGAAAGGUGAAAUUUUGAACCAGUGGCAAUGAUAAAGGAAUCUAUAAACUGGAUCG
rnacentral:lncRNA from 1 species